GGAGAGGUGCCGGAGUGGUCGAACGGGCUCGCCUGGAAAGCGAGUGUGUCGUGAAAACGGCACCGAGGGUUCGAAUCCCUCCCUCUCCG
rnacentral:tRNA from 1 species